rnacentral:rRNA from 1 species
ACAUGCAAGUCGAACGGAAGUCGUUAUGAUGAUUUCAACACUGACAGAGAACUUGUUCAAAGAAAGUAGAGAUUGACUUAUAACAAUGGCUUUAGUGGCGGACUGGUGAGUAACACGUGAGCAACCUGCCUAUCAGAGGGGAAUAACAGUGAGAAAUCAUUGCUAAUACCGCAUAUGCCAUAAAUAUCACAUGAUGAAAGUGGGAAAGGAGUAAUCCGCUGAUAGAUGGGCUCGCGUCUGAUUAGAUAGUUGGUGGGGUAACGGCCUACCAAGUCGACGAUCAGUAGCCGGACUGAGAGGUUGAACGGCCACAUUGGGACUGAGAUACGGCCCAGACUCCUACGGGAGGCAGCAGUCGGGAAUAUUGCGCAAUGGAGGAAACUCUGACGCAGUGACGCCGCGUAUAGGAAGAAGGUUUUCGGAUUGUAAACUAUUGUCGUUAGGGAAGAUACAAGACAGUACCUAAGGAGGAAGCUCCGGCUAACUACGUGCCAGCAGCCGCGGUAAUACGUAGGGAGCAAGCGUUAUCCGGAUUUAUUGGGUGUAAAGGGUGCGUAGACGGGAAAGCAAGUUAGUUGUGAAAUCCCUCGGCUUAACUGAGGAACUGCAACUAAAACUACUUUUCUUGAGUGUUGGAGAGGAAAGUGGAAUUCCUAGUGUAGCGGUGAAAUGCGUAGAUAUUAGGAGGAACACCGGUGGCGAAGGCGACUUUCUGGACAAUAACUGACGUUGAGGCACGAAAGUGUGGGGAGCAAACAGGAUUAGAUACCCUGGUAGUCCACACCGUAAACGAUGGAUACUAGGUGUAGGG